GUGCUCGCUUUGGCAGCACAUAUACUAAAAUUAGAACGAUACAGAGAUUAGCAUGGCCCCUCCAUAAGGAUGACAUGCAAAUUUGUGAAACAUUCUAUGUUUAA